CCUACGGGAGGCAGCAGUGGGGAAUAUUGCACAAUGGGGGAAACCCUGAUGCAGCGACGCCGCGUGAGCGAUGAAGUAUUUCGGUAUGUAAAGCUCUAUCAUCAGGGAAGAAAAUGACGGUACCUGACUAAGAAGCCCCGGCUAACUACGUGCCAGCAGCCGCGGUAAUACGUCGGGGGCAAGCGUUAUCCGGAUUUACUGGGUGUAAAGGGGGCGCAGACGGCAGCGCAAGCCAGGAGUGAAAGCCCGGGGCCCAACCCCGGGACUGCUCUUGGAACUGCGCGGCGGGAGUGCAGGAGGGGCAGGCGGAAGUCCGGGUGUAGCGGUGAAAUGCGUAGAUAUCAGGAGGAACACCGGUGGCGAAGGCGGCCUGCUGGACUGCGACUGACGCUGAGGCCCGAAAGCGUGGGGAGCAAACAGGAUUAGAUACCCUAGUAGUC
rnacentral:rRNA from 1 species